AGUGUCAUGGCUGCCAGGGACGCCGCCUCUUCGUGUUGCCACAACACGGCUGUCCGUGUGGUCUACAUUUGAGGCAGUGAUGGAAGAAGUAUUCAGAUCUUUCACUUUAAUAAAAGUUGCAAUACCACCGUGUAGAAACACUCUGUUACAAAGUAAAAGUCCUGCAUUCAAAUAAGUAAAAGUAUACAAUAUUAAAGUACCAAAAGUACUCAUUAUGCAGAAUGGCCCAUUUCUGAAUAAUUAGUGAUGUUAACUAAUGCCGCAGCUGGUUAAGGUCGAGCUAAUUUCAGCUACUUUAUAUAGGCCAAUCAAGAUUGAAUUGCAUUGAUAGGCUUACUUUCAGGUAGUUUAAUCCAUUAAAAUGAAUUAUAAUAGGCCUAUUAGUUGAUUUACAAUUUGUAUUAAAAUCUGAAUCUGCAUAGUAACUAGUAACUAAAACUGUCAAAUAAAUUUGAACAAAAAGUACAAUAUUUCCCUCGUUGUAGUGGAAUAGAAGUAUGAAGUAGCAUUAAAUAAAAAUGCUCAAGUACCUCAGAAAUAGCCUACAGUACUUGAGUAAAUGUGCUUAGCCUAUUCCACAUCUGAUUUUAGGCAUUUUUCAAAUUCAGUGGCACUGUUUCCACCAGAGAGAAGGAUGAAAAAAAGGAAUCAAUCUGAAAACUGUGGUUGCACCUUUUAUUAAUCAGCUCCUCCUCCUACACUUGACUCAUAAAUCACAAGGUGUGAAUUACCGGUUGCAAACAGGUUGCAAAUGAUAACUCUAAAGAGCAGUUUAUCAAUUUCAUAAUAUCAGAACAUUUUGUAAUUAUGUUCCCAAGUAGCCCAUUUACAUUUUUGUAAAUUUGCUCUCCUCGUAAGUAACUGCAAAGGAGUGUAAACAGAGACAGGGCUAACUCUAGCAUCAUAGCAUCACUGUUGAUUUGCUGUUGUAAUGUAAAUUAUCCGACCAAGCAUCAACACUGAAGCAUAAAACGAUUCAUACACAGAGAUGUCUAGGUUUUUGUUCCCGCUUUGACGCUCCCAGGAUGUGAGCUAAUGCAUCAGAUCCCGGGUGCUAUUUCAAAGAGUGGUGUGGUGAAAUGGAGCUCCUGCUGCUUUUCCUAUGAGGUGGAAAUUUAAAGAAAUUCCCUCAUGGAAAAUGGAAUGGACAUACAGACAACCUGAAAACACAAUGCUUCUGGCCACGGCUAUCGGCGCAGAGGCAUAAAAGGAGAGAAUGUUUUAUUCCUUGAACUGUCAAAUUCUGCCUGUCAGCCAUGUUUUAGUUUUGUACUAUUUUUGGUCAGUUGAGUAUUUGUUAUUUUGGUCUGUUGUGUUUUGGGGUUCUGUCUUGUUUGUUGUCCUGUGUCUAGUCUGUGUUUAUGGUGAGAUCUGCCGUUUUGUUGUCUGUUUGGUUCUGUGUUAAUCUGUUUUUGUUCUGUUAUUGUAGUCUGUUGUCUGUGUUGUCCUGUUAUCUUGUCUCCCUUAUCCACUCUGUGUUCUUGAUUCUAAGAUUUGGGUUUUGCAUCCACAUUUUAGUUGAAUUGAGUUUAGUUCACUGUGAGAUUACUUAUUGAUCAGUUUGGUAUCUGUUAUUUAGUCUGGGUUAUUAUUUAUGUAGUUAUUAUCUGUCAGAUAGUGUUUAGCGGUGUUUUGGUAUUUUCAUUAUUUCCAUUCUGUUCCUUGUUGAGUGUUGUCCUGUUUCCUGGUUAGUUCUGUCUCUGUUCCCUACCCC